CUCAGUCGUGUGGUGAAGUCUGAGGAAGUCACGCGUGGCUGGUGGAACAUGAAGCCUGCUAGUAUCUAAUUAACACCUAAUUACCGCUUCCUAACACCUGCUCCUUACCUCCUAGACGAGCCUACCUCGCCUAAGCUAACAGUCAAGAUGGCGCCACGACUGCUCUUCUUGGCCGUUCUUGUCGUCUUCCUGACAGGAAGGAGCACAGUGACAGCCAGCUGGCUGUCAGACCAGCUGAACAGUUUGACCUCCUCUGUCAGCAGCUGGUUCAACAAUCUGUCAUCCUCCUUUGACAGGUCUUUCAGCAAACUGU